rnacentral:rRNA from 1 species
AGUGAACGCUGGCGGUAGGCCUAACACAUGCAAGUCGAACGGCAGCACAGUAAGAGCUUGCUCUUACGGGUGGCGAGUGGCGGACGGGUGAGGAAUACAUCGGAAUCUACUUUUUCGUGGGGGAUAACGUAGGGAAACUUACGCUAAUACCGCAUACGACCUACGGGUGAAAGCAGGGGAUCUUCGGACCUUGCGCGAUUGAAUGAGCCGAUGUCGGAUUAGCUAGUUGGCGGGGUAAAGGCCCACCAAGGCGACGAUCCGUAGCUGGUCUGAGAGGAUGGUCAGGCACAAUGGAACUGGGACACGGUCCAGACUCCUACGGGAGGCAGCAGUGGGGAAUAUUGGACAAUGGGCGCAAGCCUGAUCCAGCCAUACCGCGUGGGUGAAGAAGGCCUUCGGGUUGUAAAGCCCUUUUGUUGGGAAAGAAAAGCAGCAGGUUAAUACCCCGCUGUUCUGACGGUACCCAAAGAAUAAGCACCGGCUAACUUCGUG